CUCACCUCACUGCCUCCCAGACCUCCCUGCCUUCCAGCCGUCCGGAGGGAGAGCAGAUGCCCAGGGCCUUUGGGAAGGGUCCUGCCCAGUGCACCUCUGCUCCCGAUAACCUGUGUUUCCUCCUUUGUCAACCAGGUCACGCCGCCAGCGCUGCUCCUCAGGCCAGCUCCCCACCGGACUACACAAUGGCCUGGGCAGAAUAUUACAGACAGCAGGUCGCUUUCUACGGACAGACGUUAGGGCAGGCGCAGGCCCACAGCCAGGAGCAGUAGGACAGCGUCCUCGUGGCCAACUCUCCCCUCAAAAUCAUUGUCAAAGAAAACCUAUUUGUAACAGAGGUUUUUACAUUUGCAAACCUUUUGAUGAAGAACUGUUGUUUUGUUCUGUGAAACACUAUAUUUAGAUUAACGGAAUUUUUCUAAAAAUCGGGAAAAUUAGUUACUAAAAAUUGCUGAUCAUUUUUGUUUCAUUAUUUUUGUUAUU
rnacentral:sRNA from 1 species